GUGCUCACUUCAGCAGCACAUAUACUAAAAUUGGAAUGAUACAGAGAAGAUUAGCAUGGAGAGACUCUUAACUACAGAGAAUAAACUGAGGGUU
ensembl:snRNA U6 U6 spliceosomal RNA